rnacentral:lncRNA from 1 species
UCUCUCAAUAAAAAGUAUCAAAAUUUUUACAAAAGCUCUCUGAAAUCUCUCUUGAAGUCUUUUUACACUUUCAGAAUAUCAUCAGCUCUCCAACACAAUAAACGGUUCGUCAAUCAGAGCUAUAUAGUCUCCAAAAUCUCAAAAAUACUGUUAUAGUAGGAAUACAGAAUCUCAAUCAAUCCUAAAACUAUCCGUGGCCAUC